AACUACGUGCCAGCAGCCGCGGUAAUACGUAGGGGGCGAGCGUUAUCCGGAAUUAUUGGGCGUAAAGGGUUCGCAGGUGGUCUAAUAAGUCAGGUGUGAAAGGCAGUGGCUCAACCAUUGUAAGCACUUGCAACUGUUAGACUUGAGUACAGGAGAGGAAAGCGGAAUUCCUAGUGUAGCGGUGAAAUGCGUAGAUAUUAGGAGGAACACCAGUGGCGAAGGCGGCUUUCUGGACUGUAACUGACACUGAGGAACGAAAGCGUGGGGAGCAAACAGGAUUAGAUACCCUGGUAGUCCACGCCGUAAACGAUGAGUGCUAGGUGUUGGGGGUCGAACCUCAGUGCCGCAGCUAACGCAUUAAGCACUCCGCCUGGGGAGUACGGUCGCAAGACUAAAACUCAAAGGAAUUGACGGGGACCCGCACAAGCAGCGGAGCAUGUGGUUUAAUUCGAAGCAACGCGAAGAACCUUACCAGCUCUUGAC
rnacentral:rRNA from 1 species